GACGAACGCUGGCGGCGUGCUUAACACAUGCAAGUCGAACGGAAAGGCCCUGCUUUUGUGGGGUGCUCGAGUGGCGAACGGGUGAGUAACACGUGAGUAACCUGCCCUUGACUGUGGGAUAACUUCAGGAAACUGGGGCUAAUACCGGAUAGGAGCUCCUGCUGCAUGGUGGGGGUGGGAAAGUUUCGGCGGUUGGGGAUGGACUCGCGGCUUAUCAGCUUGUUGGUGUGGUAGUGGCUUACCAAGGCCUUGACGGGUAGCCGGGCUGAGAGGGUGACCGGCCACAUUGGGACUGAGAUACGGCCCAGACUCCUACGGGAGGCAGCAGAGGGGAAUAUUACACAAUGGGCGGAAGCCUGAUGCAGCAAAGCCGCGUGCGGGAUGACGGCAUUCGGGUUGUAAACCGAUUUCGUCUUUGCCGAAGCGUGAGUGACGGUAAUGGGUAAAGAAGCACCGGCUAACUACGUG
rnacentral:rRNA from 1 species